rnacentral:rRNA from 1 species
GACGAACGCUGGCGGCGUGCCUAAUACAUGCAAGUCGAACGCAUUUUCUUUCACCGUAGCUUGCUACACCGAAAGAAAAUGAGUGGCGAACGGGUGAGUAACACGUGGGUAACCUGCCCAUCAGCGGGGGAUAACACUUGGAAACAGGUGCUAAUACCGCAUAAUUCCAUUUACUGCAUGGUAGAUGGAUGAAAGGCGCUUUUGCGUCACUGAUGGAUGGACCCGCGGUGCAUUAGCUAGUUGGUGGGGUAACGGCCUACCAAGGCUGCGAUGCAUAGCCGACCUGAGAGGGUGAUCGGCCACACUGGGACUGAGACACGGCCCAGACUCCUACGGGAGGCAGCAGUAGGGAAUCUUCGGCAAUAGACGCAAGUCUGACCGAGCAACGCCGCGUGAGUGAAGAAGGUUUUCGGAUCGUAAAACUCUGUUGUUAGAAAAGAACAAGGAUGAGAGCGGAAAGUUCAUCCCUUGACGGUAUCUAACCAGAAAGCCACGGCUAACUACGUG